GACGAACGCUGGCGGCGUGCUUAACACAUGCAAGUCGAACGGAAAGGCUCCAGCUUUCUGGGGUGCUCGAGUGGCGAACGGGUGAGUAACACGUGGGUAAUCUGCCCUUCACUCUGGGAUAAGCCUAGGAAACUGGGUCUAAUACUGGAUAUGACCUUUCUCCUCAUGGGGGUGGGUGGAAAGUUUUGCGGUGUAGGAUGGGCCCGCGGCCUAUCAGCUUGUUGGUGGGGUUAUGGCCUACCAAGGCGACGACGGGUAGCCGGCCUGAGAGGGUGAUCGGCCACAUUGGGACUGAGAUACGGCCCAGACUCCUACGGGAGGCAGCAGUGGGGAAUAUUGCACAAUGGGCGGAAGCCUGAUGCAGCGACGCCGCGUGAGGGAUGACGGCCUUCGGGUUGUAAACCUCUUUCAGCUGGGACGAAGCGUAAGUGACGGUAACUGCAGAAGAAGCACCGGCUAACUACGUG
rnacentral:rRNA from 1 species